rnacentral:rRNA from 1 species
AACGAACGCUGGCGGCAUGCCUAACACAUGCAAGUCGAACGAGACCUUCGGGUCUAGUGGCGCACGGGUGCGUAACGCGUGGGAAUCUGCCCGUGGGUUCGGAAUAACUGUCGGAAAGGACUGCUAAUACCGGAUGAUGUCGUAAGUCCAAAGAUUUAUCGCCCAGGGAUGGGCCCGCGUAGGAUUAGCUAGUUGGUGGGGUAAAAGCCUACCAAGGCGACGAUCCUUAGCUGGUCUGAGAGGAUGAUCAGCCACACUGGGACUGAGACACGGCCCAGACUCCUACGGGAGGCAGCAGUGGGGAAUAUUGGACAAUGGGCGAAAGCCUGAUCCAGCAAUGCCGCGUGAGUGAUGAAGGCCUUAGGGUUGUAAAGCUCUUUUACCCGGGAUGAUAAUGACAGUACCGGGAGAAUAAGCCCCGGCUAACUCCGUG